AGAGUUUGAUCCUGGCUCAGGAUGAACGCUAGCGGCAGGCUUAACACAUGCAAGUCGAGGGGUAACAGGGUAGCAAUACUGCUGACGACCGGCGCACGGGGGAGUAUCGCGUAUGCAACCUACCUUUAACUGGGGGAUAGCUUCGAGAAAUCGGAAUUAAUACCCCAUAACAUUUCACAAAGGCAUCUUUGAGAAAUUAAAGCUCCGGCGGUUAAAGAUGGGCAUGCGUAACAUUAGUUUGUUGGUGAGGUAACGGCUCACCAAGACUACGAUGUUUAGGGGGUCUGAGAGGAUGAUCCCCCACACUGGUACUGAGACACGGACCAGACUCCUACGGGAGGCAGCAGUGAGGAAUAUUGGUCAAUGGGCGAAAGCCUGAACCAGCCAUGCCGCGUGCAGGAAGACUGCCCUAUGGGUUGUAAACUGCUUUUAUACAGGAAUAACCCUCCGAACGUGUUCGGAGCUGAAGGUACCGUAUGAAUAAGCAUCGGCUAACUCCGUGCCAGCAGCCGCGGUAAUACGGAGGAUGCAAGCGUUAUCCGGAUUCAUUGGGUUUAAAGGGUGCGCAGGUGGGAAAAUAAGUCAGUGGUGAAAUACUGCCGCUUAACGGUAGAAUUGCCAUUGAUACUGUUUUUCUUGAGUAUGGUUGAGGUAGGUGGAAUGUGUUGUGUAGCGGUGAAAUGCUUAGAGAUGACACAGAACACCGACGGCGAAGGCAGGUUACCAACCCAUUACUGACGCUGAGGCACGAAAGCGUGGGGAUCAAACAGGAUUAGAUACCCUGGUAGUCCACGCCGUAAACUAUGAUUACUAGUUGUUGGCGAUACAUUGCCAGUGACUGAGCGAAAGCAUUAAGUAAUCCACCUGGGGAGUACGUUCGCAAGAAUGAAACUCAAAGGAAUUGACGGGGGCCCGCACAAGCGGAGGAGCAUGUGGUUUAAUUCGAUGAUACGCGAGGAACCUUACCUGGGCUCGAACGGUGCAGGAAUAUGUCAGUGAAAGCAGGGUUCCUUCGGACGAUCUACAAGGUGCUGCAUGGUUGUCGUCAGCUCGUGCCGUGAGGUGUCGGGUUAAGUCCCAUAACGAGCGCAACCCUUAUCGUUAGUUGCCAGCGGAUCAUGCCGGGCACUCUAGCGAGACUGCCGGUCUUAAGCCGGAGGAAGGUGGGGAUGACGUCAAAUCAGCACGGCCCUUAUGUCCAGGGCUACACACGUGUUACAAUGGCCGAUACAAAGGGCAGCUACUCCGCGAGGAGAUGCUAAUCUCCAAAGUCGGUCUCAGUUCGGAUCGAAGUCUGCAACCCGACUUCGUGAAGCUGGAUUCGCUAGUAAUCGCAUAUCAGCCAUGAUGCGGUGAAUACGUUCCCGGGCCUUGUACACACCGCCCGUCAAACAAUGGAAGCUGGGGGUACCUGAAGUCUGUAACCGCAAGGAGCGGCCUAGGGUAAAACUAGUAACUGGUGUUAAGUCGUAACAAGGUAACC
rnacentral:rRNA from 1 species